rnacentral:piRNA from 1 species
UGGUUGAGCUCGCAAACCUGAAAACUACUGU